UGGGGAGUGCCGCGAACGCCCCGUGAGGCGCCAAGCCCAAGGUUCGC
rnacentral:ncRNA from 1 species